CAUCCAGACUGUCACUUGUUUGGGGAGGUGGAAGAGGGUGGAGCUACUUGCCGUUCAUAGUUUUAGUCAUGACCACCGCGCGUCCCUAUCACCACCUGAGUCAGUCCUGUGCGGCAGUGUUCUGGUGGGUGUUACUGAUUGCUGUGACGGGCGCCCUUAUCAGAGGAGGACAUGCAGAUUUAGAAUCGAGCUGUGAAGACACUGCACUGCUUUCCUCACCCGUUUUUCGUGCCAGACUAGCUCACAACAAUGUUUUACUUCUUACACAAUUAAACAUGACACAAUUAAACAUAACGAUUUCUACAUUCUAGAAUGAAUUCAUGAUAUGGCAGACAGCAGAGUUAUAAAGUAACAAAUAUUAACAUUGCAGCUGUGACACUAGACCGAAAGGGAAACACAAAACAUGAGAUAUAAAUGUAGAACUCAAAACCAAAGAUAAAAUAAACGUAUCUGUUUGUUG